rnacentral:rRNA from 1 species
AUACGUAGGGUGCAAGCGUUAAUCGGAAUUACUGGGCGUAAAGCGUGCGCAGGCGGUUUUGUAAGACAGAGGUGAAAUCCCCGGGCUCAACCUGGGAACUGCCUUUGUGACUGCAAAGCUAGAGUACGGCAGAGGGGGAUGGAAUUCCGCGUGUAGCAGUGAAAUGCGUAGAGAUGCGGAGGAACACCGAUGGCGAAGGCAAUCCCCUGGGCCUGUACUGACGCUCAUGCACGAAAGCGUGGGGAGCAAACAGGAUUAGAUACCCUGGUAGUCCACGCCAUAAACGAUGUCAACUGGUUGUUGGGUCUUCAUUGACUCAGUAACGAAGCUAACGCGUGAAGUUGACCGCCUGGGGAGUACGGCCGCAAGGUUGAAACUCAAAUGAAUUGGCGGGG